GCUUACGGCCAUACCACCCUGAGAACGCCCGAUCUCGUCUGAUCUCGGAAGCUAAGCCGGGUCGGGCCUGGUUAGUACUUUGAUGGGAGACCGCCUGGGAAUACCAGGUGCUGUAACCU
rnacentral:rRNA from 1 species